CCUACGGGAGGCAGCAGUGGGGAAUAUUGGACAAUGGGGGAAACCCUGAUCCAGCGACGCCGCGUGAGUGAAGAAGUAUUUCGGUACGUAAAGCUCUAUCAGCAGGAAAGAAAAUGACGGUACCUGACUAAGAAGCCCCGGCUAACUACGUGCCAGCAGCCGCGGUAAUACGUAGGGGGCAAGCGUUAUCCGGAUUUACUGGGUGGAAAGGGAGCGUAGACGGCAGCGCAAGUCUGGAGUGAAAUGCCGGGGCCCAACCCCGGAACUGCUCUGGAAACUGGGAAGCUGGAGUGCAGGAGAGGUAAGCGGAAUUCCUGGUGUAGCGGUGAAAUGCGUAGAUAUCAGGAGGAACACCGGCGGCGAAGGCGGCUUACUGGACUGUAACUGACGUUGAGGCUCGAAGGCGUGGGGAGCAAACAGGAUUAGAUACCCGGGUAGUC
rnacentral:rRNA from 1 species